UGCAGAGUGUGGAGAAAACAUUUCCACUCACUAGGGCAGACAGGGACUUACUUUCAAAGCAAGAGUAUGAUGUUCAGGCAUGGUGUAUGCUUUUGAAUGACAAAGUUCCAUUUAGAAUGCAGUGGCCACAGUAUGCUGAUCUACAGGUCAAUGGUGUACCUGUUCGAGCUAUUAAUAGACCUGGCUCACAACUACUUGGUGCUAAUGGUCGUGAUGAUGGUCCAAUUAUUACACCAUGGACGAAAGAUGGAAUUAAUAAAAUUUUCUUGACUGGAUGUGAUGCUCGCAUCUUCUGUUUAGGGGUUAGAAUUGUAAAGCGGCAAACAGUUCAACAGAUUCUCAAUUUGAUUCCUAAGGAGUCUGAAGGUGAGCGUUUUGAAGAUGCUCUUGCUCGUGUUUGUCGUUGCGUUGGUGGUGGGAAUGCAGCAGAUAAUGCUGACAGUGAUAGUGAUUUAGAAGUUGUUGCUGAUGCUAUUGGUGUCAAUUUACGUUGUCCUAUGAGUGGUUCAAGGAUGAAGGUUGCUGGAAGAUUUAAACCCUGUGCUCAUAUGGGCUGUUUUGAUCUUGAUGUUUUUGUGGAGCUCAACCAACGUUCUAGAAAGUGGCAGUGCCCAAUUUGUCUAAAGAACUACUCAUUGGAAAAUGUAAUUAUUGAUCCUUAUUUCAAUCGGAUUGCAUCUAAGAUGAGGAACUGUGGAGAAGACAUAGCUGAAAUUGAGGUGAAGCCGGAUGGUUCCUGGCGUGUAAAAACAAAAAGUGAAAGUGAGCGUAGGGAGGUUGGGGAUCUGGCGCUUUGGCACUUUCCAAAUGGCUCUAUUUGUGCCCCUGUUGAGGAAGUUAAACCAAUAGUGGAAACAUUGAAGCAUGUUAAACAAGAAGGUACUUCUGAAGGUCAUGUUGGUUUGAAACUUGGAAUCAGGAAGAAUAGCAAUGGUUUCUGGGAAGUAAGCAAACCUGAAGAUAUAAAUACCUCUUCUGGUAAUAGAUUGCAGGGAAAGUUAGAGAAUCAUGAGCCAAAAGUUAUCCCAAUGAGUAGCAGUGGCACUGGAAGUGGUAGGGAUGGUGAAGAUCCAAGUGUAAAUCAGGAUGGUGGUGGGACUUUUGAUUUUGCUAGCAAUGGAAUUGAGCUUGAUUCUAUAUCAUUGAAUCUUGAUCCAACAUAUGGAUUUACUGACCCAAAUCCAUCUGCACCAAUUGCAAAUCCAAAUUUUAUUGUUCUUAGUGAUUCAGAAGAUGAAAAUGACCUACUAAUAUCGCCUGGGAAUGUAUACAGGGAAAAUCAAACUGAUGCUGGUGGCGUUAAUUUUUCAAUACCCCCUACUGGAUAUGUUGAUAACUUUCCUGAUACUUUGGGUUCUAUAGGUGCUGGUGGGAAUUCUUGCUUGGGUCUCUUUGCUGCCAAUGAUAAUGAUUUUGGAAUGCCCCUCUGGUCAUUACCUUCUGGAACCCAAGGUUCCCCAGGUUUUCAGCUAUUCACUUCAAAUGCAGAUGUUCCAGACACCUUGGUGGAUCUACAGCAUGGUCCCAUUAACUGUCAGACACAGAUGAAUGGCUAUACAUUGGCUCCGGACACUGCAAUGGAACCUUCAUCUCUGGUCCCAGAUUCUUCUAUUGGUCAGCCUGCUGCUGACCUCAGUGAUGGUUUAGUUGACAAUCCCUUGGCAUUUGAUAGGGAAGAUCCGUCUCUUCAAAUAUUUCUUCCAACAAGGCCUUCAGAUGUGUCAGUGCAAUCUGAUUUGGGAGACCAAGCCGAUGUGUCAAAUGGUAUCCGCACUGACGAUUGGAUCUCUCUUAGCCUUGGGGGCGGUGCCAUUGGUGGUCACAGUGAACCACCCGCUGCAAAUGGAUUAAAUGCAAGGCAGCCAGUACAGUCUGGAGAAGGUGCCGUGGAUUCUGUGGCUGACACUGCUUCUUUGCUUCUCAGUAUGAAUGACAGAAGAUCUGAGAAGGCAAGCAGGCAAAGGUCAGAUAGCCCUUUCAUCUUCCCUCGCCAGAAACGUUCUGUAAAACCGCGGUUGUAUCUUUCUAUCGACUCAGACUCGUCUGAAUAGAAAUUUUGGCCCCUAUAUCCAUGAAAUCCCUUGUGUACGUGUUUGAACCUUUUGGGUGUAGAAGGCCCCUUAUGGGAGGUUUGUUGAUCUGAUAUAGUUGACGAAUAUUGGGUCCUUUUAAAAGGCUCAAGGCAAGGAAAUACACUACAGAACUAAGUAUGCAAGAAAAUUCUGUUAAAAGUUUGUUUCUAGUGCCUAUCAUCCAAUGCUGAUUGUUAUAAAAGAGGCCCUUUCCCCUUGGUUCUUUUCGGAAAGCUGCAGGCCCAUUGCUGGCAAAUUGUACAGAAGAAAAUGGAUUAAUCAGAAAGUUGAUUUUAUCCUCAGGGGUUUAAAGUCUCCCCCUUAGUUACAAUUUUGUGAUGGAAAAAAUCUCGAGAAUGAUCAUGGAAGGUGAAAUGUUGAAAUUUGUCAGCAGUGAUUGAGGUUAUAAUCUUCUGUCACAAAUCAUUAAACUUGAAUUUUGGUUGUGUGGGCUUGUAUUAUAUUACGGGUUAUUCUAACUUGUGUGUGUUUCUUGUUAACAUAUUUCAAAGCUAUCAGCCUUCCAUCCCCCACUUGGCGGCCGUUAUCGGCUACAUAACAGGUAAUUCUGGGUAUUUCUUUGUGCGAGGUUAAGUUGGAGUUUAUGCAUGAUGUUUCCGAAGUAUAUAUAUAUAAAGGUACUUGCCCUUGCUACUACUGUCUGCCCUAAACAAGUUUAUAUGAUCAUCCUAGGAUACGAAAGAAAAAAUUUAUCUUGGAUGUACCAAGCGUCCAAUUCAUUUCUCAAAGACCACUACUGUCAGGCUUUUAGAUUUCUUGUGGUUAUCAGCCAAAAACCCUGAGCCACAAAAGAAAAUCCUACUAAAUUUCUUUUGAUUAUAGUAUUACAACAGGUUACAACAUUCAUGUGACUUAUCUCCAAAUGUUGCUGAUUGCUGGCUACGCCAGCAUGUCAGAUUACGACAUUCAAACAGCGAUCACAUAACAUGGAUCUGACUGAGUUGUGAAGGAGCUUUGGUCGGAAGAAAUCUUGUAAUGGUGGCAUAAAUUCAGGGUAACACAAGUUUAUCAUUCUCGACUAGUAGCAACAGGCGUCAAGUGCCUAAAGCUCUCGCAACCUGGGCGAUCAUGCAAGCUUUCAUGAAAGUAAAUGUCACACUCAAGGCAGAAGUACUCGUUGCACUUUGGGCAGGCAACACAAAGGCCAUGCUUAUUUCCUACGACAAAACCAAAAUGGGCAGUUACAGCAACACAGCAAUGAAAUCUGUAUGAAUGGAGGUGCAUUCCACUGACUAAGUAUUGAAAGAAGAGAUGAACAAGAUGCCCAUAUCUUGGGUACUCUCUUUUUUCCCCUAUUUAACCAGAAAAAAAAAAAGGAAGAAGAAGCUAUCAUUCGGCUGAAGGGCCCGUAAAUAGGUAAAUGAGCAUAGGCAUACGCUGCAGAACCAACAACACAACCGAGUAUGAAGUUAGUAGAACUAUUCAUAUUGCAACUAGCAAAACAACCACAUAGAAAAUCCGCAAAUGAUAUCCAUCACAGGUCCCACUAUAUUGAUUUCAGUCUUGCCAUAAAGCUUACUCAUGAUUGAAGGUUACUCAGAAAAUCUGUUUAUUUGUUCGGCUUAAAAAUAACAAGCCUACUGUCCUCUUUUACCACCCAAGGUUAGAAAAACGUAUUGGGAUUUAAGCUGGUACCCUAGCUAGGGUGUUUGUGUAUACAAGUAGCUUUCUCUGAAAGUAUUAUUUAAUAACUCAUAUAAAUUUAAAUCACCAAAUUCAAUUUCAGUAUUGCUAAUCAAAGCAAUCAAA